rnacentral:lncRNA from 13 species
ACACCUCACAGAGCCUGGAGAUCUCUGAGAGAGUGUCCAAACGAGCUGCAGCUUUGCACAGUGCACACAAUUGGCUAUAAUUAAGUGUCAAUUCCAUGUGAACCGAAUUUCAGUUUUGCUUCGAGAAUGAUUAGCUUUCUACUAUGAUGCUGAAGUGUUAGCAUGUUUUGUAUCAGAGAUAGAUGAGUAUGAGCGGUGGAAGGCUGGAGGGGUGCUGCCUGGAGCACGCGAUUGCAUCUGGGGCUGAGGCUCUUUCCUGCCUCUCACAGGAUGUGGGCUAUCCUGUCUGGCUGCUGGAAAGAGGGCUGCCCAGCUUUAAAGGAGGUAAGGUGGGGCUCAAAACAGGUGGGGCUCACCUGCCCUCAAUGACGGGUCACCACUGCACACUGCAUCGUUGCAGCCUUGCAGACAAGCAUCCGCCCAGUGCUGAUCAGCCUGACUGCUUACAACAACAACAAAAAAUGUGUGGGAGGAAGAUAGUUAUUUUACACACACUCACUCAGCACAGGAUGAGUGUGUGUAUGAAGACGGCGAGGACUAAAGUUCUUACUCCAGCUGUCCUGCCACCCGCAAAUCUCUGUGAAUUGUGGCCAGUGGGUUGAACAGGCAGAGGAAUGCUUUCAUUUUGCUGCCUAUGUAUUGGAAUGGCAACAUUAAAGGAAUUUAAAACAUGCCCCUAAUGUAUUAAUAGGCAUCUGUUUGCUAUAAGAGAGUGCUAAUUAACGGCUAUGGAGGAGAAAAGACUUUGAGAGAAACAGGGGGGUUGAGAGAGAGAGAGAGAGAGAGAGACAGAGAGAGAGAGAGAGAGAGAGAGACAGAGAGAGAGAGAGAGACAGAGACAGAGAGAGAGAAAGACAGAGAGAGAGGUUCUGUUUCACUUGCUUUGGCAAUGUUAACAUAUGCUUCCCAUGCCAAUAAAGCCCAUUGAAUUGAGAGAGCGAGAGCCAUAAUGUUUGUAUUUAGUAUAAAUUGCUAUUUUUGUUUGGUGAUUUGAAAGGCAGGAUAAACAGAAUAAAGAAUUUACUUUUCUGUUUACAUUAGCUGAGUAGUUAGCCCCAUAUGUAUGUUCCACUUCCACUACUUGCUCCAGUCCUAUGAAAUGCAUGGAAAUGAUUAGAUAAAAAUGUGCGCAGCGGUGGUCACAGUUAUUCUGGCAAUCAACACAGAGAAAAAUAUUCUGUAAAAAACCUCCCUUCUUCAAUUUUCCUGCCAUUAUACCUGCAAAUUCACAUACACCCAAGUUUUUUAUCUUCCUUGCAUAGCCAUAUAUUCAAAUCUCAUCUUCCUAUUAUCACCAUCUACAUUUAAAUAUCUAUUCUUUAUCCCAUAACCAUGUACAGUCAAACUCCUCUCUUAAUCUUCUCCAAUAAACACAACCAAACAUGUCCUCUCUCCUUUCUCAUCUGACUAAAACCUCUACCUAGACCUAGGGCUGUUAUGGUGACCGUAUUACCGCCACAACGGCGGUCAUGUGUCAUGACAGCAGUCAAAUUCCACGUGACCGUUUAGUCACGGUAAUUAGGCUUUUCCAAGCUCUGAUGCUACUGAUGGUUGUUAGUAGCCUACCAAACUUGACAACUGCCUGGUACACCACACUCUAUUGUCCCUUGAAUCAACCUGACAUCAAUGCACAUUUUUAAUUUCUUUAUUUAAACUUUAUUUAACUAGGCAAGUCAGUUAAGAACAAAUUCUUAUUUACAAUGACGGCCUACCCCUCCCC